AUUGAACGCUGGCGGCAUGCCUUACACAUGCAAGUCGAACGGCAGCACGGGUGCUUGCACCUGGUGGCGAGUGGCGAACGGGUGAGUAAUACAUCGGAACAUGUCCUGUAGUGGGGGAUAGCCCGGCGAAAGCCGGAUUAAUACCGCAUACGAUCUACGGCUGAAAGCGGGGGACCUUCGGGCCUCGCGCUAUAGGGUUGGCCGAUGGCUGAUUAGCUAGUUGGUGGGGUAAAGGCCUACCAAGGCGACGAUCAGUAGCUGGUCUGAGAGGACGACGAGCCACACUGGGACUGAGACACGGCCCAGACGCCUACGGGAGGCAGCAGUGGGGAAUUUUGGACAAUGGGCGAAAGCCUGAUCCAGCAAUGCCGCGUGUGUGAAGAAGGCCUUCGGGUUGUAAAGCACUUUUGUCCGGAAAGAAAUCCUUGGCCCUAAUACGGUCGGGGGAUGACGGUACCGGAAGAAUAAGCACCGGCUAACUACGUG
rnacentral:rRNA from 1 species